GCCGCGGUCGCAUAAUCUGGUAUUGCACAGGCCUGGAAAGCCUGGCCCUUUGGGCAUCUGGAUUCAAAUUCCAGUCGCGGCG
rnacentral:tRNA from 1 species